rnacentral:tRNA from 1 species
GGAUUGUGGCUCAGCGGUAGAGCACUCGCCUAGCAGGAACAAGGCCCUGAGUUCGAUCCUCAGCACCA